GAGUUUGAUCAUGGCUCAGAUUGAACGCUGGCGGCAUGCCUUACACAUGCAAGUCGAACGGCAGCACGGGUGCUUGCACCUGGUGGCGAGUGGCGAACGGGUGAGUAAUACAUCGGAACAUGUCCUGUAGUGGGGGAUAGCCCGGCGAAAGCCGGAUUAAUACCGCAUACGAUCUACGGAUGAAAGCGGGGGACCUUCGGGCCUCGCGCUAUAGGGUUGGCCGAUGGCUGAUUAGCUAGUUGGUGGGGUAAAGGCCUACCAAGGCGACGAUCAGUAGCUGGUCUGAGAGGACGACCAGCCACACUGGGACUGAGACACGGCCCAGACUCCUACGGGAGGCAGCAGUGGGGAAUUUUGGACAAUGGGCGAAAGCCUGAUCCAGCAAUGCCGCGUGUGUGAAGAAGGCCUUCGGGUUGUAAAGCACUUUUGUCCGGAAAGAAAUCCUUGGCUCUAAUACAGUCGGGGGAUGACGGUACCGGAAGAAUAAGCACCGGCUAACUACGUGCCAGCAGCCGCGGUAAUACGUAGGGUGCGAGCGUUAAUCGGAAUUACUGGGCGUAAAGCGUGCGCAGGCGGUUUGCUAAGACCGAUGUGAAAUCCCCGGGCUCAACCUGGGAACUGCAUUGGUGACUGGCAGGCUAGAGUAUGGCAGAGGGGGGUAGAAUUCCACGUGUAGCAGUGAAAUGCGUAGAGAUGUGGAGGAAUACCGAUGGCGAAGGCAGCCCCCUGGGCCAAUACUGACGCUCAUGCACAAAAGCGUGGGGAGCAAACAGGAUUAGAUACCCUGGUAGUCCACGCCCUAAACGAUGUCAACUAGUUGUUGGGGAUUCAUUUCCUUAGUAACGUAGCUAACGCGUGAAGUUGACCGCCUGGGGAGUACGGUCGCAAGAUUAAAACUCAAAGGAAUUGACGGGGACCCGCACAAGCGGUGGAUGAUGUGGAUUAAUUCGAUGCAACGCGAAAAACCUUACCUACCCUUGACAUGGUCGGAAUCCCGCUGAGAGGUGGGAGUGCUCGAAAGAGAACCGGCGCACAGGUGCUGCAUGGCUGUCGUCAGCUCGUGUCGUGAGAUGUUGGGUUAAGUCCCGCAACGAGCGCAACCCUUGUCCUUAGUUGCUACGCAAGAGCACUCUAAGGAGACUGCCGGUGACAAACCGGAGGAAGGUGGGGAUGACGUCAAGUCCUCAUGGCCCUUAUGGGUAGGGCUUCACACGUCAUACAAUGGUCGGAACAGAGGGUUGCCAACCCGCGAGGGGGAGCUAAUCCCAGAAAACCGAUCGUAGUCCGGAUUGCACUCUGCAACUCGAGUGCAUGAAGCUGGAAUCGCUAGUAAUCGCGGAUCAGCAUGCCGCGGUGAAUACGU
rnacentral:rRNA from 1 species